GUUGCAAAAUCAUCCGCAAUGCCUGUAGCAAAGGAACAGCAGCAAAUAUGAUAUCAGGAAAGAAAUCCCUCCUCUAUGGAAAUCUUAAUCUAACAUUUGAGAUUCUACUGCCUAUUUCUAAGACAUUCUGGAUAUUCACCAUCAACUGUACACAAACAACAGAGGUGAUGAAACUCCAAAGCCAGAGAUAUGAUGCCUUAAAAUAAA
rnacentral:misc_RNA from 1 species